rnacentral:rRNA from 1 species
UACAGCUUGGCACUGAACAUUGACCCUACAUGUGUAGGAUAGGUGGGAGGCUUUGAAGCACAGUCGCUAGAUUGUGUGGAGCCGUCCUUGAAAUACCACCCUUGUAGUGUUGAUGUUCUAACUUAGGUCCCUAAUCGGGAUUGAGGACAGUGCCUGGUGGGUAGUUUGACUGGGGCGGUCUCCUCCCAAAGAGUAACGGAGGAGCACGAAGG